CCCUGUCCGGUGGGGAGUUUGGCUGGGGCAGCACAUUGUCAGGUGGGGAGUUUGGCUGGCGUGACACAUCUGUUAAAAGAUAACGCAGAUGUCCUAAGAUGAGUUCAACAAGAACAGAAAUCUCGUGUGGAACAAAAGGGUAAAUGCUCGUUUGAUUAUGAUUUCCAGUAUGAAUACGAACCGUGAAAGUAUGGCCUAUCGAUCCUUUAGAAAUUCUGAAUUUGAAGCUAGAGGAGUCAGAAAAGUUACCACAAGGAUAACUGGCUUGUGGCAGCCAAGCGUUCAUAGCGACGUUGCAUUUUGAUCCUUCGAUGUUGGCUCUUCCUAUCAUUGUGAAGCAAAAUUCACCAAGUGUUGGAUUGUUCACCCACCAAUAGGGAACGUGAGUUGGGUUUAGACCGUCGUGAGGCAGGUUAGUU
rnacentral:ncRNA from 1 species